rnacentral:rRNA from 1 species
UACGAAGGGUGCAAGCGUUGCUCGGAAUUAUUGGGCGUAAAGGGUAGGUAGGUGGUUACGUAUGUCUGGGGUGAAAUCCCUGAGCUUAACUCAGGAAGUGCCUUGGAAACGGCGUAACUAGAGUACUAGAGAGGUUCGUGGAAUUCCCGGUGUAGCGGUGAAAUGCGUAGAUAUCUGGAGGAAUACCGGUGGCGAAGGCGGCAUCCUGGACCGACAUUGACGCUGAUGAGCGAAAGCUAGGGGAGCAAACGGG